CGUGUAGGCGGUUUGGCAAGUCGAGUGUGAAAUCCCACGGCUCAACCGUGGAACUGCGCUCGAAACUGCCUUACUUGAGUGCGGGAGAGGUGUGCGGAAUUCCUGGUGUAGCGGUGGAAUGCGUAGAUAUCAGGAAGAACACCGGUGGCGGAGGCGGCACACUGGCCCAGCACUGACGCUGAGGCGCGAAAGCGUGGGGAGCGAACG
rnacentral:rRNA from 1 species